GAAUUCACUAGUGAUUCAGGCCUAACACAUGCAAGUCGAGCGAUGAAGCUUCUUCGGAAGCGGAUUAGCGGCGGACGGGUGAGUAACACGGGGGUAACCUACCUUGUAGUGGGGAAUAGCCUUUCGAAAGAGAGAUUAAUACCGCAUAAGAUUGUAGCUUCGCAUGAAGCAGCAAUUAAAGGAGCAAUUCGCUACAAGAUGGACCCGCGGCGCAUUAGCUAGUUGGUGAGGUAAUGGCUCACCAAGGCAACGAUGCGUAGCCGACCUGAGAGGGUGAUCGGCCACAUUGGGACUGAGACACGGCCCAGACUCCUACGGGAGGCAGCAGUGGGGAAUAUUGCACAAGGGGGGAAACCCUGAUGCAGCAACGCCGCGUGAGUUAAAGGGUCUUCGGAUUGUAAAGCUCUGUCUUUGGGGACG
rnacentral:rRNA from 1 species